AUCUGACGUCGAGGCGCCUCCUUUUGUUCCAAACCCGUACCCGCGAGUCACCACAUCGUCUCUGCGCCGCCGCCAUGGCGACUCGCCGGAAGCCGACCUCGAAACCCUCGGAGAUCCCGCCGGAGGUGCGGUCCGUGGAGGCGAAGCCCCCGCAUCCGGAUCCUCUGGCCCCUCCGAAGUUUGGUCUCAUCAUCCCCGUCGCUGCCGCGUUCUUCCUCUCUUUCUUCUACCUCGUAUUCGUCAAGUACCAGAUCGAGCCCGACCUGCGCCGAUCCAUCGCUAUCAACGCCGCUAUGAGCUUCGGCGCCUUCGUCUUGGCCGUCCGGAUGAUCCCCGUGGCGGCACGCUACGUGUUGCGACGCAAUCUCUACGGGUUCGACAUCAACAAGAAGGGCACACCGCAGGGCACCAUCAAAGUGCCUGAAUCUUUGGGUAUUGUUAUUGGAAUUGUCUACUUGGUUAUUGCUAUACUGUUUCAGCAUUUCAACUUCACUUCAGACUCCAAUUGGCUCGUCGAAUACAAUGCGGCACUAGCAUCUAUCUGCUUCAUGAUUCUUCUAGGAUUUGUGGAUGAUGUUCUUGAUGUCCCAUGGAGAGCAAAAUUGGUGCUGCCCUCAUUUGCAGCUCUUCCCUUGUUGAUGGCAUAUGCUGGGCAUACUACCAUCAUCAUACCGAAGCCCCUCAUUCAAUAUGUUGGAGCAGCUGUUCUGGAUUUAGGUUGGAUAUACAAGCUAUAUAUGGGUAUGUUAGCUGUUUUUUGCACAAACUCCAUCAACAUACAUGCUGGUUUAAAUGGCCUGGAAGCUGGGCAGACUGUUGUAAUUUCAGCCGCGGUCUUAAUUCAUAAUGUCAUGCAAAUUGGUGCAUCUACAGACCCGGAAUAUCAGCAGGCUCAUGCAUUUUCUAUUUACCUUGUCCUUCCUCUGCUGACCACUUCAUUGGCUUUACUUUCAUACAAUUGGUAUCCUUCAUCAGUCUUUGUUGGCGAUACCUACACUUACUUUGCUGGAAUGGCUUUGGCUGUAGUUGGAAUUCUUGGCCAUUACAGCGAGACACUUCUGCUUUUCUUCUUGCCUCAAGUUUUGAAUUUUCUUUAUUCAUGCCCUCAGCUUUUUAAGAUAAUUCCUUGUCCACGGCAUCGCCUACCAAGAUUUGAUCCUCAAACAGGACUCUUGACGGGGACAAAGGAUGGGACCCUUGUAAACCUAUUCCUUAGAUUGUUUGGUCGGUGCACAGAACAGAUGCUAUGCAUCAGGCUUCUCAUUUUCCAGGCUUUGUCAUGCCUCUUGUGUUUCUGGCUGAGGCAUGUUCUUGCUGGAUGGUACAAGUGAGGCGCGAAGAGCAAACAAGGAAAUAUCAUUCAAGAUCAAGCAGAUGUCAAGAGCAGUACAUCGGAAUUGCUCAGUUUAUGCCCAUCUAUAACUAAAGAAGAAGAAGAGCAUAAAACAAGACCAUGCUCAGCAACAGAGUAGCAGUACCCAAUGCCGAGAAGAAGCUCAAGAAACCUAUUCUCGUCAGUGUCUUAUAUCGAUCAUUUGCAGCAAUCGAGGCCAGCAAAGUGAUCACCAUAUGCCUGUCCGAGGAGUGUAGCUCUCUUUAGAACGAGAAGCUUGGAAGUAUAUGACGGUGGAUACGGAAGAAAUCAUUAAAAGGUACGGAAGGAUGAGGAGCUACCGGGGAGGCCGGAUGGCCCGGCACUGCUCCGAGAUCUUGCGCCGC